UCGGCGGUGUCGCGUUUGCUCGCGGUAAUAUUAAUUACAGCAUCACGGCGUGUCAUUCAUCCUUCUGGUGUAACUACAUCGUUGACUUAUAAGUGUUACUUGAGUCUAUUAGUGUCAUGCGUAGUGGUUAAAGUAGAGAGAUUAACUGCUGAUUAUGAGAAAUAUUUAAAAAUAAUGUGAUAUCGUUAUAUUGAAAUAGUGCAGUUAUAAUUUACCCUCACAUGAGAAGUACUAUCGCUCUGCCCAGACUUACAAUUGCUUGGGCAAGAGGCUUUAUUGCAGGCGAGUGGUGGAGAAGUUAGUGCGGAGGAAGAAUGAAUCACUUGACAUGAAAUUGGCUUAAUUGUAGCAGAACAACCCACGGCUAAUGGUUUGCUAAAACAGGCUCUAAAACUUUGCGGCGGCGGUUCCCUCCUACACACCAGAAAAACAUUUUGUGGCACGUGUUUUAAAAGGAAGCAGCCACAAAAACCGACAAAAAACCAAAAAAAAUGAAAACGAAAUGAAUUUGUUGGUCACUUUUACUAGGGGAAAAGAUUGAAAACCAAGAUUUAUAACACAAACUGGUGAAUAGAAAGGCUAUGAAACUGAAAGCAAACUUUAUAAUAAUAAAUUCUGCUUUCAAAUGUUAAAAUUUCAUCGCACCAUUCCGUCCAAAGAAAAUACUUUUGAUUGCUUGAGAACAUUACAGAACACACAUUCGGUAUCGAAAUUUGGGAGCAAUAGAACGCGCUGACCUAUAGGGAACAACCAACGUGAAAUUUUGUAGAGGGCGGAUGGGACUUGUCGUACCACUUGAAAGUGCAACGAGAUGCAGUUUUCCAGUUCUGGACUUGUCUACCCCUAGGUACUCAUCAGGAAUCAACAUUUUCCCUGCCGCUGAUAGUUGAUCCGCCCUUUUCCUGCUGCGGCUCACUCGAAGAGGAUAUCUAUAUACAUUGUCGACCGUCAGCUUGCAGCUAAAGUGCAGUUUUGCUCUGGAGAGUGCGAUAAAGUUGAAAAUUAGUUCCAUUGCUGUUGCUGUCCUACCCUCUCACCACUGCUGUCCUGUCUGAGUUGAACUAUGUUUGUUUGCUACAGGCAGGCAACAGGAACGAGGAUCUCUAUCGUUAGCAGUUAGCAUCCUUUCACUGGGAUCAUGCUGCUGAGCUGGACUUGCUCUGGUUUCGACAAUAACAAUUCUCAAGUGGCUUUGGAAGAAGAAGUCCGCACUAAAGGUCGUUACUGGGUACGCGCAGGAGUCAUGACAUUGUUGUUUGUGCGGGGCAGAAGACGAAGACGAAGGAAACUACCAAGGAAGCAUCGCCAGUGGACGUUGUACUUUCCGGAAACGGAAAGUGUUAGAACGACACACGUGAGAGCUUAAGCAAGAUGUUUCGACAAAGUCGUGAUGAUUAUGAUAAUUUACAAAACUUGUUCCCUCACUUGUUUUUUCGUUGGUCUGAUGAUGAUAUGCAUUUUCAUUUAGAUACCCAAGCAACCAAAAAUUUCAUUU